GGUGGGUUGGCUCAGUGGUUAGAGCGUAGGUCUCGUAACCGAAAGGUCGCGGGAUCGAAUUCCAGUAGAGGCUG
rnacentral:tRNA from 1 species